GCACCAACCGCGUCUGAUCGCUGCCCCCUUUCUCUCUCCUCCAGCUCCGCCAUAAAUACGCACCUCCACCGCUUGGCUCCGACGACUCCGAUUCUCUGAGAUGGUCUCUCUCCUGUUCGCUUAGGGGGACAAGGAUUGUCUGGUGUGAUUGUUUUGGUUGUUGAGUUUCGGAGCGAUCGAUCACAGGAGCUGAUUCGACGAAGACGUCCCCCUUGCGAGCAGAAACCAGUGGUUGGGAUUGAUGAUUGGACUGGAAGAGGUUUUGGAAGUGUUUUUCGGUUGCAGCCUUUGAAGAGAGACUAAAAUACCCAAGGACUGGAAAGUAAAGUAUGGACCAUAACGAGACAGGGUGCCAAGCUCCUCCUGAAGCCCCCAUACUUUGCAUCAACAACUGUGGAUUCUUCGGGAGUGCAGCCACCAUGAACAUGUGUUCCAAGUGCCACAAGGAUUUGGUAUUGAAGCAGGAACAGGCUAAACUUGCUGCAUCAUCGUUUGAGAGCAUCGUGGAGGGCAGCUCCAACUGCAAUGCAAAAGAGUCCAUGGUCGCCAUUGCCAAAGCUGAUAUAAUACAGACUGGUCCAUCAGAGUCAAUGCCCGUCCCAACACAGGCAGCUUGUGCUUCACCAAGCGAGACCAAUGACAGAGUGAAAGAGGGUCCAAACAGGUGCAGUUCUUGCAGGAAGCGAGUCGGUUUAACAGGCUUCAAUUGUCGCUGUGGAAACAUCUUCUGUGCAGUGCAUCGCUACUCUGACAAACAUGCCUGCCCAUUCGACUACAGGACCGCUGCUCGAGAUGCCAUAGCCAAAUCCAACCCUGUUAUCAAGCCUGAAAAGCUUGACAAAAUCUAAGAAGCCAUGUUUGAACAGUCUACCCCACGAGUCUUCUCUUGUUUACUCAUGACAUAAAUGGUCGCUCGGGCUUUCCCUGUCUGAAAGAACAUUAUAGAUCAGUCAUCCAUGGUGUGUUUUGCUGCUGGUCUGAUGAACAGGCUUCUCAUGUUUUAGCAUGAGGCUUGGUAUACGCAGAGGUGGUGUUGGGGGAGAAGGCAUGGAGAAAACAUAUUGGGGGCCAAGAGGGGGCCUUGAGCAUACAAGAAGGGUGAUGGGCCUGAUGGGAGUAUGGCUGGCACGAGGCUUGGGGCAACCUUGUCAAGUAUGUGUGGCUGGAAAAUAAAAAAGUGGUAUAUGAUGUGCCUAUGUUGAUUGGAGUCCUACGUUUUUUGACUAGACACAUUGGAUUUGUGAUAUCAACGGGUUGGGAGGUUGGAACCCCCAAAAGUCUUUGAUUAUGUCAUACUUUUUAGCAUUAGCUAUUACAGAUUAGUUUGAAUUAGAUAAUCCUUAGCCAUCACAAUGAGAUGGGUUUGUCACGCUAUACUCUCAAAAUGUCAAAUUUGACAUGUAUAUAGAAAUAGAUUUUUGGUGGGUUUUAGUUUUCUUUUGACAA